rnacentral:ncRNA from 1 species
UAUAAAGGCAAAUCUGUUGAAAAGCAGAGACGCAAAGCCAAAGGGUCUAAGGGUUCCGUAUCCGGAGUCUAUGACAGCCGGUUGCCGC